GAAGUAAGAUGUGUGGACUUGUCUGAUUUUGCUCAAAGACUUCUCAAGUGGAACCACACAGCUAACCAUAACUAACCCCUGGAUUGCCACCAGGACCUGCUCUUAAGGUUUGUGCUCCGAAUUGGACAGCUUGCGAGAUCCCAAGCAUGAAGAAAAACAGUGUCUGAGAGAAAUCAGAUCUUUACUUUUACCACCAUCCCCCACCAUCCCACUAACAUUUGGCCACACCCCACCGUGAAUAACUCAAAGUUCUGCUAAACCUCAUCAGCCACAUUCUUCCUGACGCUUUACUCACACAGCCAGCCAGCACUCGAGAGUGGAAAAUGGAAGGAAAAGCGACCAUGCAUCCUGGUGUAGUCCAAGCGCCCACAUACCUGGCUUGGUCCAUCUUUAACACACUAUGCUGCUGUCUGCCUAUUGGAAUCAUUGCAAUUGUGUUCUCCUGCCGGACUGACACGGCUAACACUAUUGGUGAUUCUCCAAGAGCUAAUGCACACUCCAGUAUGGCCAAAAAGCUGAAUAUCGCCGCACUGGUCAUUGGGAUCAUUUUCCUCAUCCUAUACAUCAUAUUUUAUGUGGUUUCAAAUCGACAAUGAAUACAUGUUAAAAGGCACUAAAGCCAAUUCAUACAAAGUUAUGGAUACAGAAACUCUGGAAAUGUUACCCAGCAGUCUAACGUCUUACUUGUGCUUUUUUUCCUACUUCUUUUAUUCAUAAUAAAAAUUGAUUGUAUCUUUCAAA